CAGACAGUCUUUUAGCAUUGAUUGUCCAAACGCAAUUCUUGUUCACUUCGUUCUCCAAGAACUGUGUUCGGACAUCAAUCCUAGCAAGGCAGUACACAACC
rnacentral:pre_miRNA from 1 species